ACCCCUUCUGCAGUUCAAACUAGCACCAGCCACAACCCUGGACUUCCUCCCAAUUUUAACGAAUGGUACGUCUGAGGACAAACACAAACCCUGUUUAACCAUAGAAUGGACCAAAUGCAUUUUAAAAAGAAAACUGAGACCAAUCAGAUGGAAAUGGAGUUGUAAGGCAAGAGGCCAUAUAUAGGGCUACAUCUGGUUAAUUGCAAUUGUCCAGGAAGGUUUUUGGGCAAGAUCCAAAAGUAGCCAUGCCCUUUUCUCAGGAUUAGAAAAUAUGUUUUGGCAUUUGAAGGAUUAAAAAAAGAUCUUCUCACUGCUUUUUCCUCCCCUUUCUCUUGCUCUCUGCUCACCCCAUCCCUAAAUGCCUUCAGUUCAUUUUAACUCUUGUCCUGUUUCUUGAGAGGAAGUUAUGGAAGUCUUAUUGGUGGUGAUGCUAAAACUGAUGGAAAAAUCUUCGCCUUAGUGGUGAUUGUUUAAACUCUCACAGUCUUAAACCGUGCCAAAGUCCUGUUAUGUCUUGAACUUUUCCUCAAAGCAUUACACUUGUGAAUGUAUUUUUGUCUAAUGGGGUUAAAACUGUUGUUCAGUAUUUUUUCAGGCUGAGGAUGUGAUGUUACUCUACACAAAUUGUGACGUUUAGUAUACAAUUGCCUUUUGUAAUAACUUUCUUUUUUGUAAAUACAUAUCCAUUGAUGCCAUAUUUAUCGUUUGUAAUUUAAUUAUUGCUACAAAUGCCGGGAACUGAACAAUAUUUAUGGAUAAAUGUUUUCUAACAAAUUCUGUACAGCUUUUGAUUAUAACCGCUUUAGCAUUAAAAUUUAUUGUUUUGAAAGAAGAACACAAUUUACAGUUUUUGAACCACUGACUCCUUUCUCUUGUUUUGUAACAGCCUCCUUCUUCAAAGAGGAGACGUGAGCAAAUGAAAUCUUGUUUGUUGGUAUUUAUAACUCACUCAGAUCCCUUUUUUAAUUGUUAAAUUAUUUUUCUAUUGCAGUAUAGAUUCUUUACAGUGUCAGUUUCCAUCUGGGAAGACCCUCCUUUCUUUAGCUCAGAUGGUUGUUUAACUGCGAGUUUAAAUGUGUUUGUCCUGGAUUUUCUGCAUGCAAAUCAAAUAUUACUGAUCAAUUCAGUUAGUGGCCAUGACAUCUCAAUCUUGUACUUCAAAGACUGAGAAGCUGGAUUUAAUCAUCCCUGCCCUACAUAUAUAAACCUAAGGUAACCUAAUGAGUUUUAUGUCCCUUAGUUUUUUAUUAUCUUACAUAAAAAUGAACAUUGCGACAGGAUGCAUGUCUGUCUGUUCUAUCAAGAGAUCACCCAUAUACCUAUAUAUGUUUGUAUCUAUGACUUAUCUAAUCUGCCUAUCAAAUCUAUCUAGCUAUCUAUAUAUUUUCAAAAGUAAGCAUAUGUCUGAAACAGUGAUGACGAGUAAGGCCAGUCGAGGCAUGCUUACUUAUGAUUAAAGUGCUUCUUAAAAGAACCAUAGACCAUUUACAAUUUUGGAAGGCACAGGUUGGUUUGUUUUGCUGUAUAUAGUUCAAUUCGUAAUUAUCACAAUUAUUCAUAACAUUUUUAUAGCGGUGUAAUAACUGCAGCUGUUCUGAAAUAUUAUGGAAAGAAAAAACAUUUGCAAAAUAUGUAUUUUUAAAAGUUCAUGGUUUGUAGGCAAAGAUGUUAAGAGCAUUGUUUCCAUUAAAAUCAAUAACAAUGAAAAAUGGUUGUUUGCUUUGUGAUAAAAUAUUAACAAUCCGUUUAAUCUUAAGUGAAGCAACUCAUUUGGACAGACCGUUUUUUUACAGUUGUUAUAUGAAAAAGAAACAUUACUAUUUGGGGGGGUGGAGUGGGUAGAGUAUUGAGGGUUUUUUUUUUUUUUACUAAUUUAGGGUGCUGUUUAAUAUUGAGAGCCCAAUCUGCAUGAAUAACCAACUUGCAAAUCAGCAAAUAGAAUGGUGGAGAUAAGGAAUUGUAAAGAAUUUAGCAAUGUAAUGAAUAGGCUUAAGUAUCUCCUUCUCUUGAAGGGGCAGUACUCUAGGAUUUGUGGUGGCAGUCAGUUUGGUAUUAUUCAUAAUCAUUUUGAAUUCUAGAAUUUUGUUUAUUGUUCUUUUUGAAGAAAUAAAGUCUUGGCACAACUAUUUAUAACAUUUUUGUAUUUGGUGCCUGAUUUUUUUCCCAUGUUCAAAUAAAUCAACCUUAAAUUGAAAUGCUCAGAGAAGUUCUGAUGAUUAAAAGAAACUUUGAUUCCUUGGAUACAGUUGAAACAGUCUGUUUUAAGUUAUCUACUGAUCUUUGUCAACAGACAAUUAGUUAUUGACAGUUUCUAAUUGCAAAUUGCUUUGGAUGUGAUUUCUUGUUUGUG
ensembl:lncRNA